CAACAUUCUUUAAGAAACCAUUUUGGAGACAUUCAAGCACAUAAGGGGACUUUCACAUAAUAGUCGUUAGACUUAGGGAACUCACUUUAGUAUCUUCAAAGCCUACUCGUGCCAUGUGUAGAUAACAUCCCAUACUACUACCUACACGUUGUAGAACCUAUCCAAUAACUAGAGUGCACAUCCCACAUGAUGGGAAUAGGCAUUAACCGACAUAGACC
rnacentral:lncRNA from 1 species